UAGGAGUCAAAGCUUGGUCCCUUG
rnacentral:piRNA from 1 species